rnacentral:rRNA from 1 species
UUAAAAUUGUUGCAGUUAAAAAGCUCGUAGUUGAAUUUCUGCUGCAUUGCUUGUGUCCCUCUGGGGUCUGUGCAUGUGGCUUUUUUCGGACGGAGUUUCUUUGUCUGAAUGUUUACUUUGAGAAAAUUAGAGUGCUCAAAGCAGGCUUUCGCCUUGAAUAGUUUAGCAUGGAAUAAUAAAGUAGGACUUUGGUUCUAUUUUGUUGGUUUUAGGUACCAAAGUAAUGGUUAAUAGGAACAGUUGGGGGCAUUCGUAUUUAACUGUCAGAGGUGAAAUUCUU